GAUCAGUUGGUCAGAGCGAGGAUCUGUUAGUCCCUAGGUCGUCGGUUCGAUUCCGUCUAA
rnacentral:tRNA from 1 species